ACUCAAAGGAAUUGACGGGGGCCCGCACAAGCAGUGGAACAUGUGGUUCAAUUCGACGCUACGCGAAGAACCUCACCAGGGUUUGACAUAUAGGUAGUAGGAACCUGAAAGGGGGACGACUCGUUAAGCCGAGUGCCUAUACAGGUGUUGCAUGGCUGUCGUCAGCUCGUGCCGUGAGGUGUUGGGUUAAGUCCCGCAACGAGCGCAACCAUCAUCCUUAGUUGCACACGAAGGAUCCGAAAGGGUUCUGGCGAGCACUCUAAGGAGACUGCCCGUGAUAAACGGGAGGAAGGUGGAGAUGACGUCAAGUCCGUAUGGCCCUUAUACCCUGGGCUACACACGUGUUACAAUGGGAUGUACAGAGCGUUGCCAAACCGCGAGGUGGAGCUAAUCGCAAAAAGCAUCCCCCAGUUCAGAUUGGAGUCUGCAACCCGACUCCAUGAAGUUGGAAUUGCUAGUAACGGCGGAUCAGCUACGCCGCCGUGAAUACGUUCCCGGGCCUUGUACACACCGCCCGU
rnacentral:rRNA from 1 species